GACGAACGCUGGCGGCGUGCUUAACACAUGCAAGUCGAACGGAAAGGCCCUGCUUUUGUGGGGUGCUCGAGUGGCGAACGGGUGAGUAACACGUGAGUAACCUGCCCUUGACUUUGGGAUAACUUCAGGAAACUGGGGCUAAUACCGGAUAGGAGCUCUUGCUGCAUGGUGGGGGAUGGAAAGUUUCGGCGGUUGGGGAUGGACUCGCGGCUUAUCAGCUUGUUGGUGGGGUAGUGGCUUACCAAGGCUUUGACGGGUAGCCGGCCUGAGAGGGUGACCGGCCACAUGGGGACUGAGAUAGGGCGCAGACGGCUACGGGAGGCAGCAGUGGGGAAUAUUGCAGAGUAGGCGGGAGCCUGAUGCAGCGGCGCCGCGUGCGGGAUGACGGCCUUCGGGUUGUAAACCGCUUUCGCCUGUGACGAAGCGUGAGUGACGGUAAUGGGUAAAGAAGCACCGGCUAACUACGUG
rnacentral:rRNA from 1 species